UAGCAGUGAGAGUUUAGCAUUCGCAAC
rnacentral:miRNA from 1 species